AGAGUUUGAUCAUGGCUCAGAUUGAACCCUGGCGGCAUGCUUUACACAUGCAAGUCGAACGGUAACAGGUCUUCGGAUGCUGACGAGUGGCGAACGGGUGAGUAAUGCAUCGGAACGUGCCCAGUCGUGGGGGAUAACGCAGCGAAAGCUGUGCUAAUACCGCAUACGAUCUAUGGAUGAAAGCGGGGGAUCGCAAGACCUCGCGCGAUUGGAGCGGCCGAUGUCAGAUUAGCUAGUUGGUGGGGUAAAGGCCCACCAAGGCGACGAUCUGUAGCUGGUCUGAGAGGACGACCAGCCACACUGGGACUGAGACACGGCCCAGACUCCUACGGGAGGCAGCAGUGGGGAAUUUUGGACAAUGGGCGCAAGCCUGAUCCAGCAAUGCCGCGUGCAGGAAGAAGGCCUUCGGGUUGUAAACUGCUUUUGUACGGAACGAAAAGGUCUGGGUUAAUACCCUGGGCUCAUGACGGUACCGUAAGAAUAAGCACCGGCUAACUACGUGCCAGCAGCCGCGGUAAUACGUAGGGUGCAAGCGUUAAUCGGAAUUACUGGGCGUAAAGCGUGCGCAGGCGGUUUUGUAAGACAGGCGUGAAAUCCCCGGGCUCAACCUGGGAAUGGCGCUUGUGACUGCAAAGCUGGAGUGCGGCAGAGGGGGAUGGAAUUCCGCGUGUAGCAGUGAAAUGCGUAGAUAUGCGGAGGA
rnacentral:rRNA from 1 species